rnacentral:rRNA from 1 species
AAUAGAUACCCGGGUAGUCCACGCCGUAAACGUUGGGCGCUAGAUGUGGGGGCCAUUCCACGGUUUCCGCGUCGUAGCUAACGCAUUAAGCGCCCCGCCUGGGGAGUACGGCCGCAAGGCUAAAACUCAAAGGAAUUGACGGGGGCCCGCACAAGCGGCGGAGCAUGCGGAUUAAUUCGAUGCAACGCGAAGAACCUUACCAAGGCUUGACAUAUACGAGAACACUGCAGAAAUGUAGGACUCUUUGGACACUCGUAUACAGGUGGUGCAUGGUUGUCGUCAGCUCGUGUCGUGAGAUGUUGGGUUAAGUCCCGCAACGAGCGCAACCCUCGUCGCAUGUUGCCAGCACGUAAAGGUGGGAACUCAUGUGAGACUGCCGGGGUCAACUCGGAGGAAGGUGGGGAUGACGUCAAAUCAUCAUGCCCCUUAUGUCUUGGGCUUCACGCAUGCUACAAUGGCCGGUACAAAGGGCUGCAAUACCGUAAGGUGAGCGAAUCCCAAAAAGCCGGUCUCAGUUCGGA